rnacentral:rRNA from 1 species
AUAAAUUGUUCUCUUCGUGCAGAAACGAAGAUAUUUCUAUAAGACGAGAAGACCCUGUGGAGCUUCAAGUAAACUAAGAGUGCCUCAAAAUACACCAGCUUAUGCUUACUUUUGGUUGGGGCGACCAUGAAGAACAAAAUAACCUUCAUAAGGAAUAGAAAAUCCUUAAAUACGAACGACAGUUCUAAUUAUCAGAAUAUCUGACCUCUAAGACCCAGCAUGCCUGACUAAUGAACCGAGUUACCCCAGGGAUAACAGCGCAAUUUUCUUCAAGAGUCCCUAUCGACAAGAAAGUUUACGACCUCGAUGUUGGAUCAGGACAUCCCAAUGGUGCAACCGUCAUUAAUGGUUCGUUUGUUCAACGAUUAAAGUCCUACGUGAUCUGAGA